GGAGGGGUGGCUGAGCGGUUUAAAGCGGCGGUCUUGAAAACCGUUGUGGGAUUGCAUCUCACCGGGGGUUCGAAUCCCUCCCCCUCCGCCA
rnacentral:tRNA from 2 species